UUGCACGCUGGCGGCAGGCCUAACCCAUGCAAGUCGAACGGUAACAGGAAGAAGCUUGCUUCUUUGCUGACGAGUGGCGGACGGGUGAGUAAUGUCUGGGAAACUGCCUGAUGGAGGGGGAUAACUACUGGAAACGGUAGCUAAUACCGCAUAACGUCGCAAGACCAAAGAGGGGGACCUUCGGGCCUCUUGCCAUCGGAUGUGCCCAGAUGGGAUUAGCUAGUAGGUGGGGUAACGGCUCACCUAGGCGACGAUCCCUAGCUGGUCUGAGAGGAUGACCAGCCACACUGGAACUGAGACACGGUCCAGACUCCUACGGGAGGCAGCAGUGGGGAAUAUUGCACAAUGGGCGCAAGCCUGAUGCAGCCAUGCCGCGUGUAUGAAGAAGGCCUUCGGGUUGUAAAGUACUUUCAGCGGGGAGGAAGGGAGUAAAGUUAAUACCUUUGCUCAUUGACGUUACCCGCAGAAGAAGCACCGGCUAACUCCGUG
rnacentral:rRNA from 1 species